AUUGAACGCUGGCGGCAGGCCUAACACAUGCAAGUCGAGCGGAUGAAGGGAGCUUGCUCUUGGAUUCAGCGGCGGACGGGUGAGUAAUGCCUAGGAACCUGCCUGGUAGUGGGGGAUAACGUCCGGAAACGGGCGCUAAUACCGCAUACGUCCUGAGGGAGAAAGUGGGGGAUCUUCGGACCUCACGCUAUCAGAUGAGCCUAGGUCGGAUUAGCUAGUUGGUGGGGUAAAGGCCUACCAAGGCGACGAUCCGUAACUGGUUUGAGAGGAUGAUCAGUCACACUGGAACUGAGACACGGUCCAGACUCCUACGGGAGGCAGCAGUGGGGAAUAUUGGACAAUGGGCGAAAGCCUGAUCCAGCCAUGCCGCGUGUGUGAAGAAGGUCUUCGGAUUGUAAAGCACUUUAAGUUGGGAGGAAGGGCAGUAAGUUAAUACCUUGCUGUUUUGACGUUACCAACAGAAUAAGCACCGGCUAACUUCGUG
rnacentral:rRNA from 1 species